UUCGCCUGUUUAUCAAAAACAUGUCUGUGUGAAGGCAAUACAGAGUCUAACCUGCCCACUGAAUUUUAAAGGGCCGCGGUAAUUUGACCGUGCGAAGGUAGCAUAAUCAAUAGCCUCUUAAUUGGAGGCUGGAAUGAAUGGUUGAACAAAAGGAAAGCUGUCUUACUGGUAUAAAUUAAACUUUACUUUUAAGUGAAAAGGCUUAAAUGAACUGAAGGGACGAUAAGACCCUAUAAAACUUUACAGGUGAACUUUAAUUUUUAAAUUUAUAUUAAAUAGAAUUAAAUAUAGCUUGUUGGGCUGGGGCGGCUUUAAUAAAUUAUUAACUGUUUUGAAAAUUAAAUAUUUAUAAAUAGAUUAUUGAUCCUUUUUUAAGGAUUAGAAGUAUAAGUUACUUUAGGGAUAACAGCGUGAUUUUUCUUGAGAGUUCUUAUCGACAGAAUUAGUUGCGACCUCGAUGUUGAAUUAAGGGUUACUUAAAUAAGUAGAAGUAUUUAAAGUGCGUCUGUUCGACGUUUAAAUCCUUACAUGAUUUGAGUUCAAACCGGUGUGAGCCAGGUUGGGUUUCUAUCUAAA
rnacentral:rRNA from 1 species